rnacentral:lncRNA from 1 species
GUUAAUGAAAAGUAAUAACAAAAUAAAUUUAUAUAUAUAAUAGCACACUGCGCCAAGGUAUACAAAAAUAUUCUACAAUGACAUGUGAGCCCUAAAGUAACAAAAUAAACACGAUUGUAAACCCACGAUUUCUAAAGGUGCGAAUUCAAAAGAAAACCCUCGACAAAAUCGGUUGUCUACAGAUUGCCUUGAGCCUAAAAUGGGGGAAAGAAGGGUGGUGAGCUUUUAUAAACCCAAUGAGUAAGCAAAGAUCAUCUAUAACAUCUAAAGUCGAGUAAAUUGAGACAGUUAAAACAUUUCAUCAUUGUCACGACCCAAUUUCUUGGGCCAUGACCGACGCAUGAGCUCAAUGAGCAUAGCUCACUAAGCCCAAGCAAGCCUAUCCAUUUACCUUUGCUUAACAAAUUUAUCAUAUCAUGCAUACACACACACACCUUUUCCCGGGUGUGAACAUAGCCAAAACACAAUGGCAUUAUCGAUAAUAAUAUACAUGCACUAUACCAGUCAUGUAUUUAGCAAUUUACAUUGCAUACACAUAUUCACAUUGUUAGAUUGUAUUCACAAUACAAAAGGACCCAUGACUUCCAGCGGAGACAUUUACAAUAAAAGGGAUUACUAUCGAAUGCCAGACACAUACCCAGGAGAUGCACUACGGGGACUCCUCGAUCUAGGGUCCAACAGUCACCUGAUCUGAAAACAUGAAUUUUUAUAAAACGUGAGUACAAUACUCAGUGAGUGAACAAGAAGGGAACAAGCAUACCAUAAGGAAUGUUUAUCGAAAUCAUGAUGCAUUCAUUUUCUCAAAACCAUGCAAUUGUUUUAGCUCCUUUAAACCCCUCAUGUAAACCCCACAUGAGUAAAUCACUUUACAAAAAUCCAUGCUCAACUAUGGUACCAAAGAAAUGGGAAAUAUGGCAAAAACCCACAAGUUAGCAAAAUGGACAGAAAGUUUCUCGCUGUAGCGAACUUCAUUCUCGCUGCAGCGAGAACCAGAACAUCAAGGAAAAAGUCUCAUUUUUCCCUUAAAACAAGUCAUCCUGCUAAAAUAACAAUAGCAACAUGUAACACAUGUAAACUUCCAAAUUUCAACAAAACAAAUGCUUACAUAUUUGCAUUUACAACCAUAUACCCAUCAUCAACAUGCACACCAUCCCAUCAUCAUCAUCAUGCACAUCAUCCCAUCAUCAUCAUCUCAUAUGCAACGGCUUAUGCUAUUGUCACUAGGGGGUGGGAGAUCACGAAGCAUCCCCCCCUUCACUCGGCAAGAGGUGCACUUCACUCCGGAUCACGAAGCAACGGAGCAGUCCCUUCCCUCCUCCUCCAAGCUCUUGGGUGGAGAGUCAUACUUCGCCACAGAUCAUACCUAUCAAAGCACUCAUAGGGUGGAAGAUCACGAAGCAUCCAGCCCUAUAAGCUACGGAGGCAACAACGGCUUAUGUGCACUCCCACUCACACAUAGCCGGGUCAGCAACGGCUUAUGUGCACUCCUACUCGCACAUAGCCGGGUCAGCAACGGCUUAUGUGCACUCCUACUCGCACAUAGCCGGGUUCAAAUCAACAUGUAAAGAAGCAUCCAAUGCAUAUCAUGCAUUUUAUCAUAUUGUGAUAACACAUAAACCAUUGUAUAGCACAUUUUCACAAUAUAAAAUCAUUUUACUAAAAGCUUGUUCCCAAGGUACAUUUUCUAAGACAAGUUGGAUAGAAUCUUUCAUAUUUCCCAAAACAAGUUUGAAAUGCAAGUCCACUCACCGGUAUCGAAAAUCCAGAUUUCGGGUGCACUCGGACUAAUAGCCCUCAGGCGCAAUUCCUUUGCCUUUUCCGGACGUCUCACCACCUUGACAAAUAACAAAGUCAAGGAAUUUACUAUAUUGUCCCUAAAUUGAUAUAAAUUAAUUUAAAUUACUAAUGCUUGAUAUGUAAAUGCAAAAAUAUGUCCGAUUACCGCUUAAUCACGGUAUCGAUUAAAUUCGACCGAUCACCCGAUUAAUCGACGAUUGUGUCCAAAUCACCUCCAAAUUAAUUCAUUUCUCCUCUAAUACCUUAAUUUACCACAUACAUUUAAAUAAAGCCAAAUUCAGCAUUAGAACCCUCACAGUUCCUUAUAGAAAAAUUUGGUCAUUUGGUGCACUAGCAUCGAAUUUUUUUCUACAUAACCGUUUCACCUUAAUUCAUCAUUUUCCAUGCCAUUUUCCUUGAAAUAAAAACAAUCCCCCAUUGAUAUUCAGCCCUCAUGGUUCGGCCAACAAGGAACCCUAGAGAAAUUGAAUAUUUCUUUUGUGUUUUUGUUCAUAACCAUGCUUAACUAUCCCUAAACACUAACAUAGUCUAAAAUCAAAUUAUUCCAACAACAAUUCCUCUUCCAUACCCAUUUUUCAGAAUUGAAUUCAUCAUGAUAACUCAAUAUUCAACCAUGGAAAUCAAGAACAAAAGCAUGGGUAAGCUAGGUAUCAAGGAGAAUUAAAGAAAUUUUAACUUACCUAGCUUGUUUCCUUGAUUUCUUCACUUUUUCUUUGAAUUUCCACCUAGGUUUUCUUGUUUUUCCUUUUGUUCUUCCUUUUUUCUUGUUGCUGGAUGCCUAGGCCGAAUAUGGUGAGGGAAUUGGGGAUUUAAUGGGCUGAUUUCUAUAGAAAAUAAUAAAAUAAUCAAGCAUGCCACGUGUCACAUGCUUAUUGGCCUUUUUUUUUAACUUUUUGACUUUUUCUUCUUAAUUUUCCACCACAAAUAUUCUGGUAUUUAUCCAAUCCUACCACAAUUAAAAUCCCUUGCUCUUGACAAGUGCUGGGGCAAAAAAUUUACCGAUUUGCCCUCGGGAUGAAAAAAUUACGAUUUUACCCCUAUACUCCGAAAUAUACCGGAAUCACAUUAUUUUUACUUUUCAACCUCAAAUUACACUAGUAUUGAUCAAUAUUAACCAAAUGGGGCAAAAAUCGUUUUAUAAAAAUUCCCGUUUAGACCUCUAGUGGCAAAAUUACCAUUUUGCCCUUAUGCUCCAAAAAUACCGAGAAUCACAAUUUUUCACUACUAAACAUCAUUUUAUACUCCAAUAAUCAUAAUUAUAUUUCAUAUAAUUAUUCUUGGUCCAAUGUGAUCAAAUCUUGGCUAAAAAUCUCCAUUUUAUCAUCAAAUGGUAAAAUGAUCGUUUUGUCCCUAAUCGGUCAAUUUUCCUGAUGGACUCCAAACUGGACCUUGAACUCGAAUCACUAUUCUAAGCCAUUCUGUGGGUUUCAAAAUUUUCAACUUCCUCUUAGAAUUUCUAUUUGAACUAGUUCAAGACUCGAUUUAACUUAGUUGUAUCACUCAGUACAAUACCGUCUUUUAAUCGAGUUUGACAAGGUCUCACAAUCAUAAUAUAAUUCAUAACAUUAAAAAUCAUUUCAACCAAUAUAAAGCAAGUACAAUUUAUUAAAAUAUCAACAAGGCUUCUGACUCUCUUAAAAAAACUUGGCUCGUGUCAAAACUCGUACUAGGUGACACCUUGCGCAGGGCAUCCAACCGAGUCCGCCAAGGCUGUUAAAACGACAUAUACACAUAAAACAUAUUUUUACGUUCAAAAAACAUAGUCGUUCCUUAGCGUUGGUUGAGUUUCACCCUCACGUGGUGGUUCGGCGUGAAGUGAACUCUAAACUACCUUAGGGGAUACCCUCCACGCCCUCAUACUAGGGUAAAAUAUGACGGGGUUUACCGUGCCCCUCUAAUAAGCCAGUCCACAAAAACCUGCCCACUGCAGUAAGCUAAUCAAUUACCCCACCAAAUCAAUAAAAAUUUCGACAGUAUGACACGGCUAAUAUGAUAUUACCCAGCCUAUCAAGGUAAAACAAAACAGUUCAUAUAUUUCACACAAACACAAAUCCAGCCAUUCAUGUCGUCACAUUGUCAUAAGCCAUCAAUUCAAACCAUAUAUCAAUUACAAAUCCCGUUAUGCCGAAACAUUCAUUACAAAGCAAGGUCGGCAUAACGAACAAUAGCCAAAACAUAUAUAUAUAUAUAUAUAUAUAUAUGUAUAUAUAUAUAUACAUAUAUAUAUAAUACAAGUAUAUAGUCUCCACUUACUCAAUUUCCAAAACCAACAUUCAAUUUCAAAACAAUUUAUGAGCCUUAUUUCAUUUAACCAACACUUCAAUUGUAAAACAUAAUAAUUUAUAGUUUAAGUUCAUUAUUCUUUAAAAUCAUAAAAACAAGUAUAAACUACUUUAGAUAAUUAAGAUGAUACUCUGUUUACUCACAAUAAUAGGAGUACUCCUACUCCUGGUCCUCGGGUACGAUAUCCUUAUCCUUACCAGAGGGCUCACCACCUAUACAUAAUACACAACAAGUAAUUCAAUAUAUUUGUACCAAACUAUUAUAGAACUAUUUCAGGCUCUAUAUGAAUGCAUGAAAUUGAAUGAGAAAUGUUCGAAUAAUCACUUACAGAUAGUAUUCUACGUAGGUUCAAUUAUUAUCGGACUGAAAUGAUAUUUGACCUAACUCAAACUAUACACUAUCUAAUUAGCCAAAACAUCCAAUUCAUCAUCAAUAUAUCCCCUAUUAAAUUAGGCCAAUGAGGGUUUGGUGAAGAACAUGUGGUUUUCAUGCUUGUUUUUCAUACCAAAUAUCACAUAACAAUUAAAAAUACCUAGAUAGCAUGAAACCCAACAAAAACCAUCAUCAAAGCCUCCCCCCCUUGAUUCGACCAACAUGACUUCCUUCACAAAAUUUGGGUUUCCACCGCAGAAAAGGAAAAAGAAAGGAUGGGAAAGGUAAAUCCUAAGCCAAAAUCGCGAAAUCUUACCUCAAAUCGCGUCAUUUUUCGGUAAUCGAUGAAUUUCUCUUGAAUUUUCCUCCUCAAGGUUUAUUUCUAUUCUUUCUCCCUUUUUCUUUG